AAAUAAAAUUGUGUGCUUAGUAGUUGCUACACCUCGACUAAAAGGGCCAUUGUAAUUAGUGAGAUGUGCAAUUAGCUUUAGGGUUUUGUGGAAGGAAGCAAUUGGCA